ACCCAGGGCUCUUUCUUCAUAUAUUGUUUUUUGUUAUGAAGAUGUGUUAGGCCCAAAGAAGUGGAGGCCUAGGAACUUUUUUUUUUUUUAUUUAUUUUUUUUUUUUACUCCCUCCCUUUUUCUUGUGUCAUUUACAUGGGUGUAUUCGAAUGGAGCUGAAUGAGGGGUAGGGUAUGACUCAUUAUCAUGUGCCAUGAUUUUGUCUUCCUUUAGCUUCUCUUUUGCUUUGCUUUAGUCUUCCUUUAGCUUUUCUUCAAUAUAACACCAUUUUCUGUGGCUCAGAUCGCAAAACCAUCUUCAUGAAAGUUGUUCCUUAACUUGUGAACUACAACAUAUCCAAAUUUGAGGUCCCUCGGAGCAGUAUAACUCCAGAAAUCCAGGUAUGAUGAGUGACUGUUUAUCAUUUGUCUGUCAACCCGUCAGAUUUGUUGUGAGUUUUGAAACUCUAUUUUCUCUUGCUCAAAUAAGCAUGCUUUCUUCAUUGAAGUUGUUCCUCAGCUUGGGAACUACAACAUAUCCAAAUUUGAGAUCCCUCGGAGCUGUAUAACUCAAGAAAUUCAGGUAUGAUGAAUGACUGGUUAUUAUUUUUCUGUCAACCCGUCAGAUUUGUUGUGAGCUUUGAAACUCUAUUUUCUCUUGCUCAGAUCAGCAUGCUUUCUUCAUUGAAGUUGUUCCUCAGCUUGUGAACUUCAACAUAUCCAAAUUUGAGAUCCCUCGGAGAAGUAUAACUCCAGAAAUCCAGGUAUGAUGAAUGACUGGUUAUUAUUUUUCUGUCAACCCGUCAGAUUUGUUGUGAGCUUUGAAACUCUAUUUUCUAUUGUUCAGAUCAGCAUGCUUUCUUCAUUGAAGUUGUUCCUCAUCGUCUCUUUCAUAACAUAUCAAAAAUUCAGAAUGAACUAAUGGUUAAAUAUUUCCAGAUCUUCGAAACAUCACAGCAGCUUCGAAAUCUGCAAGAAUCCGACUGUCAUGCUUGGAGCUUCAACACUUUAAUUUCCGUGGCUCAAACAGAAAUGGUUCCUUCUUGAAAGUUGUUCAUCUGCUCAAGAACUAGAGGGUGUCCAAAAUUCAGCUCCAUUGGAGAGAAGCAGCAGCUGCAAAAAUUUGAUAGAGAAAAGGAGGCGAAGCUUUGUUGGAUUUCUAGGCUGGGGAAGAUUCCAGUUUUUGUAGCAACUUCAGUACUGGUGAAUUGCUUGUAUUUUUGUCCAUAACUAAAUUUUGGACUUUGAAUUAUUAUUUGAUCUAUCAUAAUAUGUUUGGGAACAUAUAUAAGUGAAUAAAUAAGAAGGAAGAUUUUGGGCCCUUGUGGGUGUAAAACAAAAAAAUGUUUAGGUUGUGUGAACAAAAUUUGUUUAUUUGGAGCAAGGUUUUGUGUUGAAGCUUUGUAGGUGAAGCUUUGGUGUUGAAGCUUUCUAGGUGAAGCUUUGAUGGUGAAGCUUUGUAGAUGAAGCUUUGUAGAUGAAGCUUUUUUAGGUGAAGCUUUGUAGGUGAAGCUUUGAUGGUGAAGCUUUGUAGAUGAAGCUUUGUAGGUGAAGCUUUUUUAGGUGAAGCUUUGUAGGUGAAGCUUUGAUGGUGAAGCUUUGUAGAUGAAGCUUUGUAGAUGAAGCUUUCUAGGUGAAGCUUUUUUAGGUGAAGCUUUGUAGGUGAAGCUUUUUUAAGUGAAGCUUUGGGCCCUUGUGAAGCUUU
rnacentral:lncRNA from 1 species